GCACUGUCUUAGCUCAGCGGUUACUCCUAUUCACCAACGAAUUGCCUUCUCUGUUAAUCAGGGAUCGAACCGCGGGCGCUGUAUAGUGUUUUU
rnacentral:vault_RNA from 1 species